UACGUAGGGGGCAAGCGUUGUCCGGAAUUAUUGGGCGUAAAGAGCGCGUAGGCGGUCCGAUAAGUCGGCUGUGAAAGUCAAGGGCUCAACCCUUGGAAGCCGGCCGAUACUGUCGGACUAGAGUCCGGAAGAGGCGAGUGGAAUUCCCGGUGUAGCGGUGAAAUGCGCAGAUAUCGGGAGGAACACCAAUUGCGAAGGCAGCUCGCUGGGACGUCACUGACGCUGAGACGCGAAAGCGUGGGGAGCAAACAGG
rnacentral:rRNA from 1 species